UCCCUGGUAGUAUAUCGGUUAGUACACGCGCCUGUCACAAUCCAAAGUGGUCAUCGCGCGAAAGCUGGGUUCGACUCCCAGCCAGGGAG